rnacentral:rRNA from 1 species
AACGAACGCUGGCGGCGUGCCUAACACAUGCAAGUCGAGCGUGAAAGUUCCUUCGGGAAUGAGUAAAGCGGCAGACGGGUGAGUAAUACAUAGGUAAUCUACCUUCGAGCUUGGGAUAACCCCGCGAAAGUGGGGCUAAUACCGGAUAAGACCACGUGGCUUAAGUUACGUGGUAGAAGGUGGCUUGUAUUUAUACUGGCUAUCACUUGAGGAUGAGCCUAUGGCCUAUCAGCUUGUUGGCGGGGUAAAAGCCCACCAAGGCUAUGACGGGUAGUUGGUCUGAGAGGACGACCAACCACACUGGGACUGAGACACGGCCCAGACUCCUACGGGAGGCAGCAGUGGGGAAUAUUGGGCAAUGGGCGAAAGCCUGACCCAGCGACGCCGCGUGGGUGAUGAAGGCCUUCGGGUUGUAAAGCCCUGUCAUGCGGAAAGAACAGUCUUACGGUUAAUACCCGUGAGAUUUGACGGUACCGCAGGAGGAAGCACCGGCUAACUCCGUGCCAGCCGCCGCAGUAAAAC